AGACCUUACCCACCUUUGACAUGUACGGAAUUUGCCAGAGAUGGCUUAGUGCUCGAAAGAGAACCGUAACCCAGGUGCUGCAUGGCUGUCGUCAGCUCGUGUCGUGAGAUGUUGGGUUAAGUCCCGCAACGAGCGCAACCCUUGUCAUUAGUUGCUACAUUCAGUUGGGCACUCUAAUGAGACUGCCGGUGACAAACCGGAGGAAGGUGGGGAUGACGUCAAGUCCUCAUGGCCCUUAUAGGUGGGGCUACACACGUCAUACAAUGGCCGGUACAAAGGGUCGCAAACCCGCGAGGGGGAGCCAAUCCAUCAAAGCCGGUCGUAGUCCGGAUCGCAGUCUGCAACUCGACUGCAUGAAGUCGGAAUCGCUAGUAAU
rnacentral:rRNA from 1 species